rnacentral:tRNA from 1 species
AUCUUAAUAGUUUAAAUAAAAUAUUGAUUUGUGGAGUCAAAGUUAUACUUAAUUAGUAUUUUAGAUA